CUCAGGAGCAGAGCGCCUUGCUGCUGCUGCUGCUGCUGCUGCGGGGCCAAACAUCUGGACGGCGAGAAGGAAAGGAAGUAACAAAGAGGAGCAGAGAAGACGAGAGUGGGUGAAAAAAGGAGGGAUGAGGUGAGGUCAGGAGGAAGAAAGCAGCCAUGUUUAUCUUGGAGACUCUCGUGGAGGAGGGAGCCGGUAUCGCUGGACGAAGGUUCACGCUCAGCGCUUUGUCUUCAUUAGAGGAGUCCCGUAAAAACCCGGCCAACUCCUGUUUGCUCUGCAAUUCAUGGGAUAAGCUGGAGCUCAUAAAAAAAAAAGAAAAGCUCAGAGGGCACACGGAGGUCCUGCGCUCUGUAAAAAAGACUUGGUAGCGGCAGAGAGCCACAGACCCCACAGUGGCCCCCACCGUGCCGCCCAUGGCCCCCCCAACGAACAGGCCCACCAGGGAUCCGAACAGAGC